UUUUUUUUUUUGAACAAGGUGCCCUGCAUUUACAUUUUGCACUGGGCCCUGAGAACAUGAUCAUAGCUCUCUUAUUCCAAGCCUCUUCACAAGGAAGAUUUUUCCAUUCCUUUAGAAAAGUGGAGGAAGGGAAAGACAAGGAGAAAAAGAAAGUAUUUAAAAGUCCUUAACAGAAGAGUGGUGGGCUGGGAGUGAGGGGCAGGGCCUUAUUUUUAGCAACCAUUGCUCCAGGUUAGAACAGAGACAGUUGAGAAGUGUUGUUCUAUUUACUGGACAUUGACAAAAAACUUCUGGCUAAGAAGAGUGGUGUUACUGAAAUGGGAUUCUGAAGUCUUACAAGUUUACUUAGCCUUUCUAAGUCUCUGUUUCCUCCUCUAAAACAGUAUAUUAACCCUACAGCAUGUUGGUGAGGAUUAAGUGUUGGUAAAGAUUAAUACAGAAAUCUAUUUAUUUAUUUAUUUAUUUUUUGAGACAGGGUCUUGUUUUGUCACCUACGCUGGAGUGCAGUGGCGCAAUCACAGCUCACUGCAUCCUUGACCUCUAGGGCUCAAGCAGUCCUCCCACCUCGGCCUCCCAAAGUGCUGGGAUUACCAGCAUGAACAACUGCUCCUGGUCUGACUUCAAAGGAAAUGAUAUGUCCUCUUUAAAGGAAAUGAUAUGUGUACGGUUCCUGGCACAUAGCAGUUACUAACACAGAUUCUUGUUCAUCAGUGGUCUUUGAAAGCUGGACUCUGGGAAGUCCAUUCAAUCGUUCGCUAAGUAUUUACACAUUAAGGGCCUAUUAAAGUCACUGUGGUAGGCCCUGGAGGAUCAUGGAGCUUACAUCAUAAAAAGAAAGGCCCAGUUGACAACUCAAGGAGCUAACCCUCAAGUAGAGGUCAUGAAACCAAUGUAUACAUAAUAGUGAAUUGGUUCAUUCAAUACAUAUUUAUUAAGCCCUAGAAAGAUGAAUAAGACACAGUCCCCACACUGAAGCCCACAGUCUGAUAGGGAAGACACAUUCCCCCAAAUAAUUAUUCAAAGAAACUAGUGCUAAUACAGGGAUAAAAGCACUAGUGAAACUUUACUGAGAGGUUAGCUGUGUGGCAACUGAUAUUCACUAUGACUCUUUGGUGUAGGUUUUAUCAUUGUCACUGCCAUUUUUAUAGAUGAAGCAGACGUGAUUUAGAUAAUUUAUUUGCUUGAAAUCAAGCAGCUUGCAAAUGGUGGAGCUGGGAUUGAAUCCAGGGCUUUCUGUCUCCAAAAGCUAUAUAUGUUAUUAUGUUGUGUGUGUGUGUGUGUGUGUGUGUGUGUGUGUGUGUAUAAUGCAAAUAGAUGGUAUAUAUAUUUACAUACUAAAUAUGUUUCUACAAAUGCAUCUCACAGAAGAAGAAUCAACCCAUUCUGCUCAGGUAAAUGGGGAAGGAAGCCCAGAGGGAGUGGCUUAUGAAUGAGUAUAAAACAAUUAGGACUUCAACAGGCAGAGAAAGAGGGAAGUCAAUUCCAGGAAGAAAAAACAUAAUGUGCAAAUAUGUGAAGUUAUGAAAAUCCAGAGUGAGUACUUCAAAGAAUAACAAGUUGGGCUGGGAAUGGGGUGGCUCAUACCUGUAAUCCCAGCACUUUGGGAGGCCAAGGUGGGAGGGUCACUUGAGGCCAGGAGUUCAAGACCAGCCUGAGUAAAAAAUAAAAAAAUUUAAAAAAAAGGUUGUUUUGGAGCAUCGAAGGAAAGAAAGUUCGUAAAACUUUAUUUGGGAGAUUCUGCAAGGCCUUCAUAUGGAUUUUAAAGGAUAUGGAAGAGUUCCAAGGCCAAGUUCGGAAAGAAGACAUGUUAGAGGAAAUAAAAAUCACUAGAAAAGCCAUUAAUGUGGGAAAAUAAGAUAUCUGUUAGAGGAUGAAGGAGUAGAAAAAUUUUGAACGAAGUGUAGUCAUGAGUGGUAAGUCUGAAUAAGCCAUGCUUAGAAAUAUUUUUGAAUGCCAAGGCAAAGCCACAUCUGUUUCAUUUGACAGGCAGAGCUGAGGUCACAGUUGGCCUGAAGUGAAAAACCCGAAUUCUUGCAGGGACUAGACAAGAUUAGUGGUCUAGGCAUAAAAAUAAUCAGGAGGCAACCAUGACCCAACUCCAGCUCACACCACUCAAGAAUACAGUCACCUGGCCAGAACCUUUGAUUUUUCAAAAGAAGCAAAACAACAAAAAUCCAAAAGCUUAGGUAAAAUCUCAUAAUUUAAAAUUUUUAGCAACUACUUAAAAAUGUGUGCAGGUGGAACAAAACUUGUCUAAGUGCCAGAUGAGGCCCCUGGGUAGCUACAGAAAUGUCUGUUCUCCCCAGGUGUCUGCAGGACUAAGCUGUGGUGUGGAGAGCCGCUGGGCAGAGGUGGUACAGGGAGGAUCAGAGAAAGCUCCAGCAAAAGGCUUCUGCUGCUCUAACUUUCUUUCUAUCCUGAUGAAGAAACCCAAAAGCAUUCCUCUCUGAGUGUUACGGAUUGAAUUGCAUUCCCUUGAAAGAUGUUGAAGUUCUAACCCGUAGUGCCUGUGAAUGUGACCUUAUUUGGAAAUGGGGUCCUUGCAGAUGAUUAAGUGAAGAUGAAGACAUUAGGGUGGAAAGUUUGGACUCAGAGACAGAGAUGCACACAAGGAAAAGGCCAUGUGAAGAUGAAGAGAUUGGAGUGACGCGCCAACAAGCCAAGGAACAACAAAGAUCGCCACCAAAACACCAGAGGCAAGGAGAGAGGCCGAGAACAGAUUCUCCCUCAUAGCCCUUCGAAGGAUCCAAGCCCAUGACACCUUAAUUUUGGACUUCUACUCUCCAGAGCUGUGAGAGGAUACAUUUCGGUUAUUUUCAGCCACCCAGUUUACGGACUUUGUUAUGGCAGCCUUGGGAAGCAAAUGCACUCAGUACAUGUUAAUUUGUAUCUUACCUACUUUGUACUUGCAAGGUGUCUCUGGGUCUCUGGUGUACACCACGGCCUGCCCUUGAGCAUGCUGGGGUGCUCAGCACGGGGGUAGCCCUGCAGCCUGACUCUCUGUAGACAGAUCAGGAUCGGUCUAACAUGGAAUUAUGAAGUGGAGCCAGGGUCAGCUUUGGGCCACGCCUGCCUUCUGUGCCGGCCUUGGAUUAUGUUCAAAUUCAUCUCAUGCUACCCCAGCAGAAAAGAGUGUCUUCAAUAAAUUCACUCAAAAGGAGGUACCAG
rnacentral:lncRNA from 1 species